rnacentral:sRNA from 1 species
UAAUACGAUGGGCAGUCUGGUGACGGC